UACGAAGGGGGCUAGCGUUGCUCGGAAUUACUGGGCGUAAAGGGCGCGUAGGCGGACAGUUUAGUCAGAGGUGAAAGCCCAGGCUCAAGCCUUGGAAUUGCCUUUGAUACUGGCUGUCUUGAGUACGGGAGAGGUGAGUGGAACUCCGAGUGUAGAGGUGAAAUUCGUAGAUAUUCGGAAGAACACCAGUGGCGAAGGCGGCCAACUGGACCGAUUACUGACGCUGAGGCGCGAAAGCGUGGGGAGCAAACAGG
rnacentral:rRNA from 1 species